rnacentral:rRNA from 1 species
UUAGAUACCCCGGUAGUCCUAGCCGUAAACGAUACUCGCUAGGUGUCGGCCACGGUGCGACCGUUGUCGGUGCCGUAGGGAAGCCGUGAAACGUGCCGCCUGGGAAGUACGGUCGCAAGGCUGAAACUUAAAGGAAUUGCGGGGGAGCACCACAACGGGUGGAGCCUGCGGUUUAAUUGGACUCAACGCCGGGAAGCUCACCGGAUAAGACAGCGGAAUGAUUGCCGGGCUGAAGACCCUGCAUGACCAGCUG